rnacentral:rRNA from 1 species
GAUGAACGCUGGCGGCGUGCCUAAUACAUGCAAGUCGAGCGAACGGACGAGAAGCUUGCUUCUCUGAUGUUAGCGGCGGACGGGUGAGUAACACGUGGAUAACCUACCUAUAAGACUGGGAUAACUUCGGGAAACCGGAGCUAAUACCGGAUAAUAUUUUGAACCGCAUGGUUCAAAAGUGAAAGACGGUCUUGCUGUCACUUAUAGAUGGAUCCGCGCUGCAUUAGCUAGUUGGUAAGGUAACGGCUUACCAAGGCAACGAUGCAUAGCCGACCUGAGAGGGUGAUCGGCCACACUGGAACUGAGACACGGUCCAGACUCCUACGGGAGGCAGCAGUAGGGAAUCUUCCGCAAUGGGCGAAAGCCUGACGGAGCAACGCCGCGUGAGUGAUGAAGGUCUUCGGAUCGUAAAACUCUGUUAUUAGGGAAGAACAUAUGUGUAAGUAACUGUGCACAUCUUGACGGUACCUAAUCAGAAAGCCACGGCUAACUACGUGCCAGCAGCCGCGGUAAUACGUAGGUGGCAAGCGUUAUCCGGAAUUAUUGGGCGUAAAGCGCGCGUAGGCGGUUUUUUAAGUCUGAUGUGAAAGCCCACGGCUCAACCGUGGAGGGUCAUUGGAAACUGGAAAACUUGAGUGCAGAAGAGGAAAGUGGAAUUCCAUGUGUAGCGGUGAAAUGCGCAGAGAUAUGGAGGAACACCAGUGGCGAAGGCGACUUUCUGGUCUGUAACUGACGCUGAUGUGCGAAAGCGUGGGGAUCAAACAGGAUUAGAUACCCUGGUAGUCCACGCCGUAAACGAUGAGUGCUAAGUGUUAGGGGGUUUCCGCCCCUUAGUGCUGCAGCUAACGCAUUAAGCACUCCGCCUGGGGAGUACGACCGCAAGGUCGAAACUCAAAGGAAUUGACGGGGACCCGCACAAGCGGUGGAGCAUGUGGUUUAAUUCGAAGCAACGCGAAGAACCUUACCAAAUCUUGACAUCCUUUGACAACUCUAGAGAUAGAGCUUUCCCCUUCGGGGGACAAAGUGACAGGUGGUGCAUGGUUGUCGUCAGCUCGUGUCGUGAGAUGUUGGGUUAAGUCCCGCAACGAGCGCAACCCUUAAGCUUAGUUGCCAUCAUUAAGUUGGGCACUCUAAGUUGACUGCCGGUGACAAACCGGAGGAAGGUGGGGAUGACGUCAAAUCAUCAUGCCCCUUAUGAUUUGGGCUACACACGUGCUACAAUGGACAAUACAAAGGGCAGCGAAACCGUGAGGUCAAGCAAAUCCCAUAAAGUUGUUCUCAGUUCGGAUUGUAGUCUGCAACUCGACUACAUGAAGCUGGAAUCGCUAGUAAUCGUAGAUCGGCAUGCUACGGUGAAUACGUUCCCGGGUCU